GAGCCUCCUGCUCUGGUGCUGGGGAGUUGCUGGGUGUGCUGGUCCCGUGGUGCACUCUGAGGGUGCCUUCCAGCGGGGUUUGCUAUGGUUUGACUCUUCCUCAGGUACUAAUUCCAUGCAACGACGAUUCGCCUGGCUGAGGGGCAGACUGAGACCCGCGAGGGAGCUGGCCGGUGUCACAGGAGCUUAAACAUCAGAGAAAGUGUCCGGGAAAGGCCUUGUGCGGACCUUGCUGAAGGAAGAAGGCUGGUGUUGGGCACCACUCCUGCCCCCAGGUGAAACUACCCAUGUGCUUAGUGCCUCCUGACAGGAAUUUCGUGGCUACUGAGAACACAUGUACCUACCUUUUUGACAUCUGCUUCCUCGGAGGCUCUGAAGAGCUGCUUUUACCAUUUGAAACCCUAUCCAUUCGCGCUCAUGGCAACUGGCCUCCAACACAGGCACAAAAAGGAGUCUACCUUUGCAACUUCCUACGUCAGAAGUGACUUAACAUCCACCGAAGUAUUUCACCAGCUUGGCUGGAAGGUCAUUUACCUUUCACUUGGUGUCAUUUUGGCUGCGAAUGUCUCCCGGGCCCACCCCGAUCUCCAGUCUGCAGAACAGAAUCCCUUUGUGUCUCGCGGUGCCUCGCCCCCGGGUUGGACUGAUCGUGGGACAUGAGCCCAGCGCCUCUCUGGGCUGCUCUUCCGCUUGUCAGUCAACCUGACCUGGCGGGACAGCACGGGCAGAGCGGUGACAAAGGAAGGAAGCGUCUGAGACGAGGCGAAACUCCCGGACAAAGGCCAGAGAGCGCUUUUAUCAGCGGCCCCGUCGCCAGCCCGCUGAGCCCCGCAUCCUGCCUUCCGUCCCAGUUCAAGCCGACACGCACACGCUGGAUGUUCUCCCACCCAACUGGAGUUCAGGAAGGUCCCCGGCGCUCCGUUACUGGCUGCUUUGUGUAACAGCUAAUUCCAGCAGCCAAUCGGGCGGUGCUAAGUACUUUUAGUAUCUCCUGAAGCUUUGGCUGUACGCCAAUGGCUGCUAAAAAUGACAAACACACCCAUGGUUCCACUUCCCCGAAGCCCUGAGAAGAAUCGGGAUUGGAUUUCAGUUUUUGUGAUACCCACAGAGCAACCCAAAGUCUUUGGGGAACAAUGAAAGCUGCUCAAAACAGAGCUCAUGGUGACAUUACAAAAGGAAAAAGGGCGGGGGAGGGGGGGCGCCAUCAGGACAGGGUCGCCCUGACUCCCUUCCGAACCGCGUCCAGGCCGGCUCUCCUCGCCGCUUGCCCUCAGCCCUGCUUGGCCUCGGAUGCCGGGUCUGCCCGCAACAGCUGACUGCAGUUUAGGCUAAACUCUGCCUGUCUGAGCCCCUUCCAAGUCGGUCAAGUUAAAGAAAAUAGGAACGAGGUCUUCACAGCCAAGAGCGUCCACUUGCCCAGUACCCUGGACGUCUACAUGCCGUGUGUGGGCCAGGGGCCGCCUGGCGCAGCCCAGGAUGGUGACAGGCUGGAGAGGCGGUUCUCAUGCUCUGCUGUGCCCCCACCUCCCGGAGGGCUGGAUUUCGGGGCUUGGAACCUGCAUCCACCCAGCGGCCAUCUCUCCUCUGCUUCCGCGGUCAGCUCCAACCAAGAAGGGCAUCGAGCUGCAGGGUGGCACGGUCAGCUCUGGAGCGGAGUGGAGCAAAGCACCACAGACCGAAACCAGAGGCAGGGAGGUAGAGUGCCAAUUUCUGUCAGCCAGCCAGAUUUCCUGGGGGAUCCACCUUGCAGUGACUUCAUCACAACCACACAAAGGAACAGAUGUGCAGGUUAACUGAAAUGCGUGCUUUAGGCCAGAGGACUGCGGCAGCUCUGCCAGCCAGGCUCCCACUAAAACUUUCCCUGCGCAGAUGCAUCCCCUGGGGAGCUUGUUCAAUGGCUCUUGGCUCAUUAGGCCUGGGAAGCCUGAGACUCUGCAUUUCUAACCAGCUCCAAUAUCAGGCUGUUGCUAUUGGUCCCAGAACCCCACUUUGGAUGUCAGGGCUUAGGGUUAGGGUGCUGCCUAUAGCUGGCUCCUGAGCCGUCUGCUGGGUGAGCGCCCCAGGAUGGUGGUGGUGACAGUGGAGAGCAGUGUGUGCAGGAGUGUAAGGGGAGCAGGAAAAGGAAAACAUUGAGAGAAAAGAGUCAGAUGAAUGCUGAUUUGAGCUACCAGAGAAGGCAGAAUGGUAACAAGAGGAUUGAGAAACUGGGUCAUCUGAAAAAAGAACACCCCAAACGCCCCUUUUGUUGCAGUUCGCCAACAGGAACACCAGGCAGGCUAUGUGUGCACGCCUAGUUUCUGGUAGUCAUGUUAAAAAUAUUAAAAGAAACGAAUGAAAUGAAUUUUAAUACAGUUUAUUUAACCCAAUAUAUAUAGAAAUAUCGCACCAUGUAACCAUAUAAAAAGUGAGACAUUUUGUUCUUUUUUUUUACACGAAGUCUUUGAAAUCUGGGGUCUAGUCACACAGCAUAUGCCACAUGAACUAGCCACAUGCGCCAGGUAGAUGUGGCUCCAGAAUCUUCCUACUCAAAGUGUGGUCCACAGAGCAGCAGCGACAGCACCUGGGAGCUUGCUAGGAGCGAAGAAUGUUAAUUUGGACCUACUAAAUGAGACCCUCCAUGUUAGUAAACUCU